GACGAACGCUGGCGGCGUGCUUAACACAUGCAAGUCGAACGAAGUGGCGAACGGGUGAGUAACGCGUAAUCAACCUGCCCUUCAGAGGGGGACAACAGUUGAAACCGACUGCUAAUACCGCAUACUGAAGGAGGGGAUUGCGUCUGAUUAGCUAGUUGGAGGGGUAACGGCCCACCAAGGCGAAGAUCAGUAGCCGGUCUGAGAGGAUGAACGGCCAAAUUGGGAAUGAGACACGGGCCAGACUUCUAAGGGAGGGAGCAGUGGGGGAACUUCCGAAAUGGACGAAAGUCUGACGGAGCAACGCCGGGGGAGUGAUGACGGCCUUCGGGUUGUAAAGCUCUGUUAAUCGGGACGCGGUACCGGAAUAGAAAGCCACGGCUAACUACGUGCCAGCAGCCGCGGUAAUAC
rnacentral:rRNA from 1 species